rnacentral:rRNA from 1 species
AGCAGCCGCGGUAAUUCCAGCUCCAAUAGCGUAUAUUAAAGUUGUUGCAGUUAAAAAGCUCGUAGUUGAAUUUCGGGAUUGACACAUCGGUCGUGCCUUAAGGGGUAUGAACUGGUGUAGUCAAUUUCUCACCUUCUGGAGAACCGCGAUGUCCUUAAUUGGGUGCCGCGAGGAACCAGGACCUUUACUUUGAAAAAUUAGAGUGUUUAAAGCAGGCAUUUUUGCUUGAAUACAUUAGCAUGGAAUAAUAAAAUAGGACGGCAUGAUUCUAUUUUGUUGGUUUCUAGGAUCACCGUAAUGAUUAAUAGGGAUAGUUGGGGGCAUUAGUAUUCAAUUGUCAGAGGUGAAAUUCUUGGAUUUAUUGAAGACUAACUACUGCGAAAGCAUUUGCCAAGGAUGUUUUCAUUAAUCAAGAACGAAAGUUAGGGGAUCGAAGACGAUCAGAUACCGUCGUAGUCUUAACCAUAAACUAUGCCGACUAGGAAUCAG